CCGGUUCGGCUUUUUCGCGGGAGAGUAAGUUGUUGCCAGGGUUUUUGUUUUAUACUUUAAACAUUGAUUUUAUUUUUUAUGUUUUUAGAUGUUCAUGUUUUUGAAUGUUUUAUUCAAAUAAUAUAAAAAAUAAAAUAUAUAUUGACAUGGAUUAAACAAAGAUAUAUAUUAUUCUAUGUUGUAUAAACAAAUUGGCAAAAUAGAGAUGGAAGAUAAAAAUAUGGUCAAAGUAAUAAGAGUCUAUGGUGAAUGCCUAGGA
rnacentral:misc_RNA from 1 species